UACGGAGGGUGCAAGCAUUAAUCGGAUUUAUUGGGCGUAAAGGGCGCGUAGGCGGGAGGGAAAGUUAGUUGUGAAAGCCUGGGGCUUAACCCCAGAACAGCACCUAAAACUUCCUUUCUUGAGGAUGAGCGGAGAAAAUGGAAUUCCACAUGUAGCGGUGAAAUGCGUAGAUAUGUGGAGGAACACCGGUGGCGAAGGCGAUUUUCUAGCUCAGACCUGACGCUGAGGCGCGAAAGCAAGGGGAUCAAACAGG
rnacentral:rRNA from 1 species